rnacentral:ncRNA from 1 species
CACGGGAGCCCCGGGCACGCAUCGCGGACGAGGGGCUGAGAGUGGGGCACGCGCCGCCCCUGACCGUCAGACCUGAUCCGGGUAAUGCCGGCGAAGGAAG